CCCUUAGAUGUUCUGGGCCGCACGCGCGCUACACUGACGAUGGCAACGAGUUUUUCCUUCGCCGAAAGGUGUGGGUAAUCUUUUGAAACAUCGUCGUGCUGGGGAUAGAUCAUUGCAAUUUUUGAUCUUGAACGAGGAAUUCCUAGUAAGCGCGAGUCAUCAGCUCGCGUUGAUUACGUCCCUGCCCUUUGUACACACCGCCCGUCGUUACUACCGAUUGAAUGGUUUAGUGAGGACUCCUGAUUGGCGCCGCCGCCCCGGCAACGGAGCAGCGGACUGCCGAAAAGUUGUUCAAACUUGAUCAUUUAGAGGAAGUAAAAGUCGUAACA
rnacentral:rRNA from 1 species